AACCAGUCUCCCCCAAAUCUCCUUUGCGUCCUCUCGAUUCCUCAGCGACCAUGUCGGCCUACUGCGGCAAGUACAAGGACGAGCUCAUCAAGAACGCUGCCUACAUUGGCACUCCUGGCAAGGGUAUCCUUGCUGCGGAUGAGUCCACUGGCACCAUUGGCAAGCGCUUCGCCAGCAUCAACGUCGAGAACGUUGAGGAGAACCGCCGCUCCCUCCGCGAGCUCCUCUUCUGCACCCCUGGCGCCCUCCAGUACCUCAGCGGCGUGAUCCUCUUCGAGGAGACCCUGUACCAGA
rnacentral:misc_RNA from 1 species